rfam:Ornithorhynchus anatinus chromosome 20, whole genome shotgun sequence.
CCCCCCUCAGGAUGGCACCUGGAGAGUUUCCAGUACUCUCCCAGUCUUGACUGUGGGAGGAAGAGUCAAGCAGAGGCCUGACCAUUCCAUUCCUAGCUUGGCCAGUGGCUAGUGAGUGGGAGGCAAUCUGAUACAAGG